rnacentral:SRP_RNA from 1 species
GCUGGGCAUGGUGGCUCAUGCCUGUAAUCCCAGCACUUUGGGAGGCCGAGGCGGGUGGAUCACCUGAGGUCGGGAGUUCGAGAACAGCCUGACCAACAUGGUGAAACCUCGUCUCUA